rnacentral:rRNA from 1 species
GACGAACGCUGGCGGCGUGCUUAACACAUGCAAGUCGAACGGAAAGGCCCAAGCUUGGUUGGGUACUCGAGUGGCGAACGGGUGAGUAACACGUGAGUGACCUGCCCUUCACUUCGGGAUAAGCCUGGGAAACUGGGUCUAAUACCGGAUAGGACGACGGUUUGGAUGGCAUUGUGGAGAGCUUUUUGGGUGUGGGGUGGGCUCGCGGGCUAUCAGCUUGUUUGUGGGGUUAUGGUCUACCAAGGCGUCGAGGGGGAGCCGGGCUGGGGGGGGGUACCGGCACAAUGGGGCUUGGAUACGGGCCAGACUCCUACGGGGGGGAGGAGUGGGGGAAAUUUGACAAAGGGGGGAAGGCUGGUGGAGCGAAGCCGCGUGGGGGGUGGCGGGCCUUGGGGUGUAAACUCCUUUUGCGCGGGGCGAAGCGUUUUUGUGACGGUACCUGGAGAAGAAGCACCGGCUAACUACGUG